CCCAAAGAAGACAAUAUCGGCUAGCGGUAGGCUGGGUUGUUACACUAAAGCACAACAAAAUAGAAAGGGAAAAGUUCUUCCAAAAAAUACUUUUUCAAUCUUUGAUUUUUAUCCA